AAGUCAUAUCCCACACAAACUCUCUCUUCUUGGUCUUCUCUUCUUGUAUUCUCCUUUAAAUAUUCACAUUAGUGUUAUAAUACUACCAAAAGCGUCCAGUUUUAACAGCUUCCGGUGAAUAGAAUAAUCUUGCAGAGCCGCAGCCAUGGACUCCGGCGGCGAGAUUCGGAUCCACCAAACCCGACGGCUUCCAGAUUUCUUGCAGAGCGUGAAUCUCAAGUAUGUCAAACUAGGCUACCACUAUCUAAUCUCUAAUCUAUUGACCUUGUGCUUCAUUCCUUUGAUGAUAAUUACCUCAAUCGAAGCCUCCCAAAUGAAUCUCGAUGAUCUCCGUCACCUCUGGCUCCACCUUCAGUAUAAUCUCGUUAGCAUCAUUAUCUGCUCUGCUUUUCUCGUUUUCGGUUUAACCGUUUACAUUAUGACCCGACCUAGACCCGUUUAUUUGGUCGAUUAUGCUUGUUUUCGUGCCCCCGAUAAUCUCAAGGCUCCAUUUGACCGCUUCAUGGAGCACUCUAGGCUCACUGGAGAUUUUGACGAGUCAUCGCUCGAGUUCCAGCGUAAGAUUUUGGAGCGUUCUGGGCUGGGAGAGGAGACUUAUGUUCCUGAAGCUAUGAUUUAUAUUCCUCCGAGGCCGUCCAUGGCUGCCGCCAGGGAGGAGGCUGAGCAGGUCAUGUUUGGUGCUUUGGAUAAUCUGUUUGCUAACACUAAUGUGAAUCCUAAGAAUAUUGGCAUUCUUGUUGUGAAUUGUAGUUUGUUUAACCCAACACCAUCACUUUCUGCUAUGAUUGUGAAUAAGUAUAAACUCAGGGGUAAUAUUAGGAGUUUCAAUCUGGGAGGGAUGGGUUGUAGUGCUGGAGUUAUUGCGGUGGAUCUCGCUAAAGAUUUGUUGCAAGUUCAUCGGAAUACUUAUGCAGUUGUUGUCAGUACCGAGAAUAU
rnacentral:misc_RNA from 1 species